rnacentral:rRNA from 1 species
CCUACGGGUGGCAGCAGUGAGGAAUAUUGGUCAAUGGACGGAAGUCUGAACCAGCCAUGCCGCGUGCAGGAUGACGGCUCUAUGAGUUGUAAACUGCGAUUGUACGAGAAGAAGAGUUCGUACGUGUAGGGAUUUGAAUGUAUCGUACGAAUAAGGAUCGGCUAACUCCGUGCCAGCAGCCGCGGUAAUACGGAGGAUUCGAGCGUUAUCCGGAUUUAUGGGGGUGAAAGGGUGCGUAGGCUGUUGGAUAAGUUAGAGGUCCAAUGUCGGGGCUUACCCCCGUGCCUGCCUCUGAUACUGUUCGACUAGAGAGCGGCUGCAGCCGGCGGAAUGAGUAUUGUAGCGGU